rnacentral:lncRNA from 1 species
GAGAGAGAGAGAGAGAGAGAGAGAGAGAGAGAGAAAGAGAGAGCUGCUAUACUAUCGGUAGCACGGACGCCUUCGUGCUACCAAGUUAUUUUCAAUGAUGCCGCUUCCAAAUCGACGAUCGGUUCCGUUAGACUUAAUCUAUAGUACUGAAAGUAUUUGGAAACUAAAUUUCAUAAUUUUUCGGUAUUAUUUACCUAUCAAACGAGUAGUCUAAAAAUGAACGGCUGAAAAUAAAAAUCUCAUAAAAAUGAUGAUAGAAGAC